rnacentral:rRNA from 1 species
CGGACGGGUGAGUAAUGUCUGGGAAACUGCCCGAUGGAGGGGGAUAACUACUGGAAACGGUAGCUAAUACCGCAUAACGUCGCAAGACCAAAAGGGGGGACCUUCGGGCCUCUUGCCAUCGGAUGUGCCCAGAUGGGAUUAGCUAGUAGUGGGGUAACGGCUCACCUAGGCGACGAUCCCUAGCUGGUCUGAGAGGAUGACCAGCCACACUGGAACUGAGACACGGUCCAG